rnacentral:rRNA from 1 species
AACGAACGCUGGCGCAUGCCUAACAAAUGCAAGUCGAACGAGACCUUCGGGUCUAGUGGCGCACGGGUGCGUAAAGCGUGGGAACCUGCCCUUAGGUUCGGAAUAACCCCCCGAAAGGGGUGGUAAUACCGGGUAAAGUCUUCGGACCAAAGAUUUAUCGCCUUUGGAUGGGCCCGCGUUGGAUUAGCUAGUUGGUAGGGUAAAAGCCUACCAAGGCGACGAUCCAUAGCUGGUCUGAGAGGAUGAUCAGCCACACUGGGACUGAGACACGGCCCAGACUCCUACGGGAGGCAGCAGUGGGGAAUAUUGGACAAUGGGCGAAAGCCUGAUCCAGCAAUGCCGCGUGAGUGAUGAAGGCCUUAGGGUUGUAAAGCUCUUUUACCCGGGAUGAUAAUGACAGUACCGGGAGAAUAAGCUCCGGCGAACUCCG